rnacentral:lncRNA from 1 species
CUCCGUUCUACUUCCCGCUGUGCUUCUGAUAAACCUCUAACUUCAUCAAUUCCGGAAAUGCCCCUACUGAAACCUCAUAUUCACAAGCCGUCUUCCUUCCCCUGUGCUCCCUCCGACACCCUGUUCGCAGAAAGAGCAAUCACAUACCUCAAACGCCAUCCCCACAACCUCACUUCUCUCUCUUCCUGUUUUACCCCUGAGGCAGCCUCCUUUUUGCUCCUCAAGUCCCAAUUCGACCAGCCCCUAACCCUAAAGUUCCUCAGCUGGGCUUUGAACCAUGGUUUCUUCACCUUCCAAUGCAAGUGACUCGCCCUCCACAUCCUCACUCUCUUCAAGCUCUACAAGAGCGCUCAACACCUCGCCGAGGACGUUGCCGUCAACACCAUCGACGACAGAGGUAAUUUGGUCUUUCAGUGCCUCAGUGACUCCCUGCAUAUCUACAAUUCGAGCUCGGCGGUUUUCGACUUGGUGGGGAAGUCUUACUCUCUCUUGAAUUUAAUUGAUGAAGCUCCGAAUAUUGUUAAUUUAGCCAAAGUUCAUAGAUUUAUGCCUGGUGUACUGUCAUAUAAUGCAAUUUUAGAUGCAAUAAGUAGGUCAAAAGAGUCUGUUCAAUUUGCUGAGGAGGUGUUUUCUGAGAUGAUUAGCAAUGGGGUAUCCCCGAAUGUGCAUUACUUACAAUAUUUUGAUUAGGGGUUUUAGCGGGGCGGGGAAUUUUAAAAUGGGGCUGUAGUUUUUUGGUGGAAUGGAAAGAAAUGGAUGUUUGCCGAAUGUGGUUACUUAUAAUACGCUGAUUGAUGCAUAUUGCAAAUUGAAUAGGAUUGAUCAGGCAUUUGAACUGUUGAGAUUGAUGGCGUUGAAGGGAUUGGAGCUGAAUUUGAUUUCAUAUAAUGUGGUAAUCAACAGGUUGUGUUGAGAAGGGAGGAUGAAUGAGACAAGUCAGGUUCUCUAGGAGAUGAAAAGAAAAGGUUUUGUUCCUGAUGAGGUGACUUGUAAAUUGUAAUACACUUAUUAGUGGGUAUUGCAAGGAAGGUAAUGUUCACCAAGCACUUGUUCUGCAAGAGGAGAUGUGGAGUGAUCGCUUGUCUCCCAAUGUAUUCAAUGUCAUUAAUGCUAUGUGUAAGCCUAAGAAUUUCAAUCGAGCAAUGGAGUUUUUCGAUCAGAUGCGUGUUAGAGGACUUCGUCCAAAUGAGAGGAUGUACACUACGUUGAUUGAUGGUUUCUACCAACAGGGGUUCUUAAAUGAUUGGGAAUGGAUUAUCACCUUUGAUUUUACAAUGCACUUUAUCAAUUGAUACUGCUUAUUGGGGAGGAUGGAAGAUGCCAUUCGAAUCCUACAAGUUAUGACAGGGAAAGGGUUGUCCCCUGAUGUACCAAGUUAUAGUACUAUUAUAACUGGGUUUUGUUGGCAUCAAGAAUUGGAGAGCGCAUUUCGAAUGAAGCUGGAGAUGAUGGAUAAGGGUGUAAUGAAG